UACGUAGGUGGCAAGCGUUAUCCGGAUUUACUGGGUGUAAAGGGCGUGUAGGCGGGACUGCAAGUCAGAUGUGAAACCCAUGGGCUCAACCCAUGGCCUGCAUUUGAAACUGUAGACUUGAGUGCAGGAGAGGAGAGUGGAAUUCCAUGUGUAGCGGUGAAAUGCGUAGAUAUAUGGAGGAACACCGGUGGCGAAAGCGGCUCUCUGGCCUGUAACUGACACUGAGGCUCGAAGGCGUGGGUAUCGAACAGG
rnacentral:rRNA from 1 species